UAGGGAAUCUUCGGCAAUGGGGGGAACCCUGACCGAGCAACGCCGCGUGAGUGAAGAAGGUUUUCGGAUCGUAAAGCUCUGUUGUUAAGGAAUAACGAGUGUGAGAAUGGAAAGUUCAUGCUGUGACGGUACUUAACCAGAAAGGGACGGCUAACUACGUGCCAGCAGCCGCGGUAAUACGUAGGUCCCGAGCGUUGUCCGGAUUUAUUGGGCGUAAAGCGAGCGCAGGCGGUUAGAAAAGUCUGAAGUGAAAGGCAGUGGCUCAACCAUUGUAGGCUUUGGAAACUUUUUAACUUGAGUGCAGAAGGGGAGAGUGGAAUUCCAUGUGUAGCGGUGAAAUGCGUAGAUAUAUGGCGGAACACCGGUGGCGAAAGCGGCUCUCUGGUCUGUAACUGACGCUGAGGCUCGAAAGCGUGGGGAGCGAACAGG
rnacentral:rRNA from 1 species